UACGAAGGGGGCUAGCGUUGUUCGGAAUUACUGGGCGUAAAGGGCGCGUAGGCGGUGUGUCAAGUCAGGCGUGAAAGCCCCGGGCUCAACCUGGGAACCGCGCUUGAGACUGGCACGCUAGAGUUCGGGAGAGGAUGGUGGAAUUCCCGAGUGUAGAGGUGAAAUUCGUAGAUAUUGGGAAGAACACCGAUGGCGAAGGCAGCCAUCUGGA
rnacentral:rRNA from 1 species